UACGAAGGGGGCUAGCGUUGCUCGGAAUCACUGGGCGUAAAGGGUGCGUAGGCGGGUCUUUUAAGUCAGGGGUGAAAUCCUGGAGCUCAACUCCAGAACUGCCUUUGAUACUGAAGAUCUUGAGUUCGGGAGAGGUGAGUGGAACUGCGAGUGUAGAGGUGAAAUUCGUAGAUAUUCGCAAGAACACCAGUGGCGAAGGCGGCUCACUGGCCCGAUACUGACGCUGAGGCACGAAAGCGUGGGGAGCAAACAGGGAUUAGAACCGG
rnacentral:rRNA from 1 species